UGUUAAGUGAUGACGUCACAGUUCCUUCGAUACGCAUAACAACGAUCCCACUGGGGACAAACAAAAGUAGCGUCGUCUCCACCGACCCAGUUGUCAGUGGCAACAUAUAGGAAUCGUGUACAUUUCUUCGUUUCUUCUUUGCUGUUUUCAGUGAGUGUUUUGUUUUCUCUUUGUCCUUGAUCUCGACGAUGUUGUCGUGCUCAUUACCUUACUGAGACGUCUCUUGUGACUGUAGCAAGUGUCACGGAGGAUUUUAUUGGCGUGACAAGGUAGUUCGCCGAGAUCGAGCGUGAAAAACGCUCUGCAUUAGUAGCUCCUGUAGAAUGUUUUCUGGGUUGGCGUAUCCAUGGUCAACAAAACCAAGGUGCAAGACAGCAUGAGAGAUCGUGUAAACGAUGUGAACUCCAAAAGAUAAUCUGGCCAAAUUUAUUGUAACUAGAGAGUGCAAUCGUGCACUGCUUGGGGCCCAUCCCAAUGUCAUCACAUGGCUGUGGUGACAAGUGUAUAUCUGGGAGAAUUUUUCCUCGACUGAUACGGAGUGCAGGUGGAUCGAUUAUGAGAAAUGCGAACAUGUGAAGUUCAAGGCUAGACGAACUUCACAUUCGGCGUGCGAUCUCAGCGUCUGGGACCUGAUGAAGUCUUGGUUGGAUGAUUAUUCAAGCCUGAUACUACUCGACACACCAAUGUUCAUGUCAAUGUAAUUUUUUCAGAGCUGCACUAUUUACGUGUUGAUGCUUACUUCGGUGUUAGCGUGUUUCCCCCGGAUUGUUUCUAUCAUCAUGAUCGUGUGUUCUUGGGCUGAGCGAGCACAUGCACAAGUGUGCAGCUAUAACCCUGUGUAUCUUUGGUUACACUUUGUUCUGCAAUGCAUGUACCUUGUAACAUUAUGUGCUUGCACUGCUUUGUCUGGCCUGCGUAUUUCAGGACUAUUCAGUGCAUUAGACCCAGGUUUGUUUGGUUGCCGGAUGACCUCUUGUUGCGUCGCUCAGUAUUUGUAUUCAUCAAUUUUUGGGCUUGAGAAUUGAGCUGUUGUAUGGUUCCCAAUAUGAAAACAUCAUGCUGGUGCUCUGUGUUUCGAUUAUCGACUGUCGGAGCAGUCAUGCAUUUAUUAGCAGAACGGUCAAUACUGUAGUCUUUUCA